AUAAAUAUAAGAAAUAAGUUAGAUCUUGUAAAGUAACCUAGUUAUAUAAGAAGUACAGGGGAAUACGAACAAGACAAGAAAGGACAUACAUGUUUUGAUAGUGAUAAAUUCCGAAACUACAUUUUAUUUUUCACAUUAAAAAUACUAAAGGUCAGAAGCUAACGCUCAUUAAUAGUUUUGAAUAAACAGCUACAUCAAAAUAUACAAAGGAACAAGAAAGAAACCAGCUAAAACGGAAUCGAAGUGCGUAUUAAACUUUACAGAUUGCAUGAAACAAACAUGUGGAAACUGCUUCAAAUACUUUGGGAUGUUACUCGCCUUCGUAAUCUUUGUUGGGCUCAUAGUAUUCCUGGCUAGGAUAAUGCCAAGUGGCGAUAAAGUAACAUUGCGGCAUCAAUCAAAUAACACUCCAUCAACUCGUCGGCCACAACUACUAUAUAAACCUUAUAUAGGGAAGCCACCAGUGUGUCGUAUGAGUUGGGUGAGCUGGUUUAACGUGAAUGUCACUGAAUUUGUUUCUUAUGAUCACAAGACAAACAGAUUUACCGUACAAGAAAGCAACAUUUUAUCACUUCGAUUAUCACUUAAAAUUGAUGGGGAAAAUGUGAGGAAAGACACGAUUAACGUUGUGUGUAUUGAAUAUAGUGACGAGACACAGAAAUGUAAGGCGACACUUUUCAAAAAGGGGGAACAUGGGGUACUAUAUAUCAAAGACAAAAUAUUCGCACUCCCUGGAUUCACAUUUACUAUAACAGUUCUACAUACCACUAUACUUAAAAGACAUAGUAAACACAAUAGCUUGAUAAUAGCCAAGUCAUUUACUAGUGGCCCGGAAUAACCGUAUUAUUACGCAUAGCACCAUUCUACCUCAAUCGUAUUUACAAUGCUCAUUUCAUAUGAUAUACGACUUCCGUUAAAGAUCUAAAGAAGCCAAAUGAAGAAAAUCAAAGUUUAAAAGGAGAACAAUUGUGCAAGUGGCGACAUCAGUCCAGUUAUAUCAAAAUGUACGCACCUGCUAAUGAAAAUAGACACACUAGGAUAUGUGAAUGAAAUGAUUUGAUAUGCAAUAACGAAAAAACGAAAAAUAAAUGUACUAUAUGUUUUCAGAGCUAUCAGAGAAGUAAAGUUUUACUCCCAUGUAUGUCUUGACGUUUGUACUGUAUUGCUGAUUUCACAAUGAUUUCAUGUUCCCCUUAUUAUUUACCAUGAUUUAAGGAUGUUCGCUCCUCUUGUUUUUGAAUUUUUGCCAGAUAUUCGGAAUCCUCUGGUUUUAUCCAUGUAGUGCCAUUAAGAUAAAUUCCCCACUAACCCCUACUUUUCCUUUCAUAAUUUUAUUACAUAUAGUUUACAAAGCCAUCUUUGAAAAUGCUAUAAAAUCCUUGUUAUUUUUCAUAAUUUUUGGAAGAAAAAGGGUGCCAAUGUUAUAUGUAUGAAAAGUCUAGAGAGAAUUAUUUCCGCCAAAUUUUUAAUAACUUAUAUCUCGAAAACAAGCACACGGACCCUUAAUUUUUUCCUGCUUUUUUAGUUCCAUUAUUUAUAUACUAUCAGUUUAUAACAGUCUUUAAAAAGCUUUAUAUUUUGAAACAGAGUAGCGAACAUCCUUAACGUCCAAUAUGUGUUCAAUAAAUGUAUGUAUUCUAGACUUAUACUCUUUUUACUACUGAUGAACAAGACUGAAAAAAUAAAAAUAAUAAAAGCGUAAAGCAUGUU